UACGGAGGGGGCUAGCGUUGUUCGGAAUUACUGGGCGUAAAGCGCGUGUAGGCUGCUUCGCAAGUCGGAUGUGAAAGCCCUGGGCUCAACCCAGGAAGUGCAUUCGAAACUGCAGAGCUGGAGUCCUGGAGAGGAAGGCGGAAUUCUCGGUGUAGAGGUGAAAUUCGUAGAUAUCGAGAGGAACACCGGUGGCGAAGGCGGCCUUCUGGACAGUGACUGACGCUGAGACGCGAAAGCCAGGGGAGCAAACGGG
rnacentral:rRNA from 1 species